AAUUGGAUAGCACUUUUUAUCUUUUGAAUGACUAAUAUAAAUAAUUUCAUUAAUAUUUUUUGCCAGAAAAUGUAUUUUCUGGUGGAAUUUAUUGAAAAUAAAAGUAUGAACAUUGUUCCUGAGACUUGGAUUGAGGAUGGCAUGACAUGGUGGCCCAACUACACAAAAGAUGACAGGAUCAACCGAGCUAUUCAAAAAAAAGAAAUUCCUGGGGAUGGCUGGACUCGCCAUGAUGUAAGAAUUUUGAUAAAAACAGAUGACUAUUUGAAAGCUCGCCAGAAAUACAAACAAUCACUUCACUGCACAACAUCAGACUUGCAGUCUGAUGCUGGAGAGGAUAUGCAGUCAUUAUUAAAGCGUAAAAGAAAAAGAGUUACAAAAACACCUUUUGGUGAUAAUGACAGUGAUGAUGAUGAUGAUGAUGAUCGGGUCACAAACAGUGCGAGGAACCUGAAGAGCA